AUGGCCCAGCGGCUGCCUCUUCACCUCUGGGCAGCACCCAUGGCCCGGAGUGUGCCCCACCCCCACCCCAGGGGCCUCCCUGUAGCCCAGGACAGGGCAGGGAGGCGGCCUGGGGCCAGAGGCACUGGGCCCUCCCUCACUGGAGCCUGGGCAGCUCCCUGCCCUCUGACGCUGCUCCCUUCCCGGCUGCGGGUCAGGAGGAGAGGCAGCGAGCAACCGAGGUUUGGCCUCACCUUGCAGCCCGCUGAGCCCCGGGCCUGGCCAGCUUUCCCUGAGAUAAAGUGGAGAUAUUUCGCAGUCCUCUGUUAUCUGAGCCGGAGAUGCGGCCGAGGCGCCGUCCCCUCGGAGCCCUGCCAGGGCUAUUAUCGCAGACAGAGUGCACAUCACCCCCCAGGAAUUUGGGGCCCUGGGCCUGGCCAAGACGGGGUUGGAGGAAGUUCCAGGCCGAUAAGGCCGAUUCAGAACGCUCAGAGGGCAGUGGAGUUACUCCCAUCAGCUACAGUCUCACCAGCCCCCCGGGCACCCUGACGCCAGGGCUGGCGCAGGAACUCACCUGCACCACCUGGCCAGCCCGGAUGGGUGGGGCGGGGAAGGCUCGCUGGGCUUCUGGGUCUGCGUCCUCGCUGGGUGGCCUCGGGGAGGUCACUGCGCCUCUCCUGGCAUCUGAGAAUAAAAGUAACAAUAAUAAUACUCA
rnacentral:lncRNA from 1 species